CGAAUGGGGAAACCCAGCAUGAGUUAUGUCAUGUUAUCGAUAUGUGAAUACAUAGCAUAUCAGAAGGCACACCCGGAGAACUGAAACAUCUUAGUACCCGGAGGAAGAGAAAGAAAAUUCGAUUCCCUUAGUAGCGGCGAGCGAAACGGGAAGAGCCCAAACCAACAAGCUUGCUUGUUGGGGUUGUAGGACACUCUAUACGGAGUUACAAAGGACGACAUUAGACGAAUCAUCUGGAAAGAUGAAUCAAAGAAGGUAAUAAUCCUGUAGUCGAAAAUGUUGUCUCUCUUGAGUGGAUCCUGAGUACGACGGAGCACGUGAAAUUCCGUCGGAAUCUGGGAGGACCAUCUCCUAAGGCUAAAUACUCUCUAGUGACCGAUAGUGAACCAGUACCGUGAGGGAAAGGUGAAAAGCACCCCGGAAGGGGAGUGAAAUAGAACCUGAAACCGUGUGCUUACAAGUAGUCAGAGCCCGUUAAUGGGUGAUGGCGUGCCUUUUGUAGAAUGAACCGGCGAGUUACGAUUUGAUGCAAGGUUAAGCAGUAAAUGUGGAGCCGUAGCGAAAGCGAGUCUGAAUAGGGCGUUUAGUAUUUGGUCGUAGACCCGAAACCAGGUGAUCUACCCUUGGUCAGGUUGAAGUUCAGGUAACACUGAAUGGAGGACCGAACCGACUUACGUUGAAAAGUGAGCGGAUGAACUGAGGGUAGCGGAGAAAUUCCAAUCGAACCUGGAGAUAGCUGGUUCUCUCCGAAAUAGCUUUAGGGCUAGCCUCAAGUGAUGAUUAUUGGAGGUAGAGCACUGUUUGGACGAGGGGCCCCUCUCGGGUUACCGAAUUCAGACAAACUCCGAAUGCCAAUUAAUUUAACUUGGGAGUCAGAACAUGGGUGAUAAGGUCCGUGUUCGAAAGGGAAACAGCCCAGACCACCAGCUAAGGUCCCAAAAUAUAUGUUAAGUGGAAAAGGAUGUGGCGUUGCCCAGACAACUAGGAUGUUGGCUUAGAAGCAGCCAUCAUUUAAAGAGUGCGUAAUAGCUCACUAGUCGAGUGACACUGCGCCGAAAAUGUACCGGGGCUAAACAUAUUACCGAAGCUGUGGAUUGUCCUUUGGACAAUGGUAGGAGAGCGUUCUAAGGGCGUUGAAGCAUGAUCGUAAGGACAUGUGGAGCGCUUAGAAGUGAGAAUGCCGGUGUGAGUAGCGAAAGACGGGUGAGAAUCCCGUCCACCGAUUGACUAAGGUUUCCAGAGGAAGGCUCGUCCGCUCUGGGUUAGUCGGGUCCUAAGCUGAGGCCGACAGGCGUAGGCGAUGGAUAACAGGUUGAUAUUCCUGUACCACCUAUAAUCGUUUUAAUCGAUGGGGGGGACGCAGUAGGAUAGGCGAAGCGUGCGAUUGGAUUGCACGUCUAAGCAGUAAGGCUGAGUAUUAGGCAAAUCCGGUACUCAUUAAGGCUGAGCUGUGAUGGGGAGAAGACAUUGUGUCUUCGAGUCGUUGAUUUCACACUGCCGAGAAAAGCCUCUAGAUAGAAAAUAGGUGCCCGUACCGCAAACCGACACAGGUAGUCAAGAUGAGAAUUCUAAGGUGAGCGAGCGAACUCUCGUUAAGGAACUCGGCAAAAUGACCCCGUAACUUCGGGAGAAGGGGUGCUCUUUAGGGUUAACGCCCAGAAGAGCCGCAGUGAAUAGGCCCAAGCGACUGUUUAUCAAAAACACAGGUCUCUGCUAAACCGUAAGGUGAUGUAUAGGGGCUGACGCCUGCCCGGUGCUGGAAGGUUAAGAGGAGUGGUUAGCUUCUGCGAAGCUACGAAUCGAAGCCCCAGUAAACGGCGGCCGUAACUAUAACGGUCCUAAGGUAGCGAAAUUCCUUGUCGGGUAAGUUCCGACCCGCACGAAAGGCGUAACGAUUUGGGCACUGUCUCAACGAGAGACUCGGUGAAAUCAUAGUACCUGUGAAGAUGCAGGUUACCCGCGACAGGACGGAAAGACCCCGUGGAGCUUUACUGUAGCCUGAUAUUGAAAUUCGGCACAGCUUGUACAGGAUAGGUAGGAGCCUUUGAAACGUGAGCGCUAGCUUACGUGGAGGCGCUGGUGGGAUACUACCCUAGCUGUGUUGGCUUUCUAACCCGCACCACUUAUCGUGGUGGGAGACAGUGUCAGGCGGGCAGUUUGACUGGGGCGGUCGCCUCCUAAAAGGUAACGGAGGCGCUCAAAGGUUCCCUCAGAAUGGUUGGAAAUCAUUCAUAGAGUGUAAAGGCAUAAGGGAGCUUGACUGCGAGACCUACAAGUCGAGCAGGGUCGAAAGACGGACUUAGUGAUCCGGUGGUUCCGCAUGGAAGGGCCAUCGCUCAACGGAUAAAAGCUACCCCGGGGAUAACAGGCUUAUCUCCCCCAAGAGUUCACAUCGACGGGGAGGUUUGGCACCUCGAUGUCGGCUCAUCGCAUCCUGGGGCUGUAGUCGGUCCCAAGGGUUGGGCUGUUCGCCCAUUAAAGCGGUACGCGAGCUGGGUUCAGAACGUCGUGAGACAGUUCGGUCCCUAUCCGUCGUGGGCGUAGGAAAUUUGAGAGGAGCUGUCCUUAGUACGAGAGGACCGGGAUGGACAUACCUCUGGUGUACCAGUUGUCGUGCCAACGGCAUAGCUGGGUAGCUAUGUGUGGACGGGAUAAGUGCUGAAAGCAUCUAAGCAUGAAGCCCCCCUCAAGAUGAGAUUUCCCAACUUCGGUUAUAAGAUCCCUCAAAGAUGAUGAGGUUAAUAGGUUCGAGGUGGAAGCAUGGUGACAUGUGGAGCUGACGAAUACUAAUCGAUCGAAGACUUAAUCAA
rnacentral:rRNA from 2 species